rnacentral:rRNA from 1 species
GACCAAGGAGUCUAGCAUGUGCGCGAGUCAUUGGGAAGAUGAAACUAAACCUAAAGGCGCAAUGAAAGUAAAGGUCCGCGCUCGGUCUUCCGACGCGCGGACCGAGGGAAGAUGGGCCCGUCCCCGGACGGGCCCCGCACUCCCGGGGCGUCUCGUCCUCAUCGCGAGGAGAGGCGCACCCAGAGCGUACACGCUGGGACCCGAAAGAUGGUGAACUAUGCCUGGUCAGGACGAAGUCA